CCUAGGGGAGGCAGCAGUGGGGAAUAUUGCACAAUGGGCGCAAGCCUGAUGCAGCCAUGCCGCGUGUAUGAAGAAGGCCUUCGGGUUGUAAAGUACUUUCAGCGGGGAGGAAGGCGUUGUGGUUAAUAACCACAGCGAUUGACGUUACCCGCAGAAGAAGCACCGGCUAACUCCGUGCCAGCAGCCGCGGUAA
rnacentral:rRNA from 1 species